UACGGAGGGGGCUAGCGUUGUUCGGAAUUACUGGGCGUAAAGCGCACGUAGGCGGAUUGCUAAGUCAGGGGUGAAAUCCUGGGGCUCAACUCCAGAACUGCCUUUGAUACUGGCGACCUUGAGUCCGGGAGAGGUGAGUGGAACUGCGAGUGUAGAGGUGAAAUUCGUAGAUAUUCGCAAGAACACCAGUGGCGAAGGCGGCUCACUGGCCCGGUACUGACGCUGAGGUGCGAAAGCGUGGGGAGCAAACGGG
rnacentral:rRNA from 1 species